UCAAUAGUCUUUUAAUUGAAGGCCAGAAUGAAUGGUUGAACGAGAAAUACACUGUCUCUUAUUAAAUAAAUUGAAAUUUACUUUUAAGUGAAAAGGCUUAAAUAUAUUUAAGGGACGAUAAGACCCUAUAAAUCUUUAUAUUAGUUAGUUAUAUAUUUUAUAAAUAUUUAUAUAAGUAAAAUAAAUAACAAACAAUAUUUUGUUGGGGUGAUAUAAAUAUAAUAAAUAACUAUUCUACUUUUAUUACAAUAAUAUUUGAUUAACAUCAAAAAGAUCCUUUAUUUAAGAUUCUAAGAAUAAGUUACUUUAGGGAUAACAGCGUUAUCUUUUUUGAGAGUCCUCAUCAAAAAAAAAAUUGCGACCUCGAUGUUGAAUUAAAAUAUCUUUAUGGUGCAGAAGCUAUAUAAGAAAGUCUGUUCGACUUUUAAAAUUUUACGUGAUC
rnacentral:rRNA from 1 species